UUUAAAGUAUAGCCUGCCCCCUGAGUAGUUAAAUGGCUGCGGUAAUUUGACCGUGCAAAGGUAGCAUAAUAACUAGUUUUUUAAUUGAAAGCUUGAAUGAAAGGUUGGACGAGAAAAAAACUGUCUCUAUUUAAUUUAAUUAGAAUUUUAUUUUUAAGUAAGAAGGCUUAAAUAAAUUUGAAAGACGAGAAGACCCUAUAGAAUUUUAUAUUUAUUAUAGUAUUGGGAUGUAAGGAAUAUUUGGUUUUGAUACUAUAUUAAAUAUUUUGUUGGGGCGAUAGAAAAAUUUAAAUAACUUUUUUUAAAUUUAUCCAUUGAUUUAUGAGUAAGUGAUCCAUAUUUUAUGAUUAUAAGAUUAAAUUACCUUAGGGAUAACAGCGUAAUCUUUUUUAAGAGUUCUUAUCGAAAAAAAGGGUUGCGACCUCGAUGUUGGAUUAAAAUUAACUUUUGGUGUAGGAGCUAAAACGUUAGGUCUGUUCGACCUUUAAAAUUUUACA
rnacentral:rRNA from 1 species